rnacentral:rRNA from 1 species
GAUCAUGGCUCAGGAUGAACGCUAGCGGCAGGCUUAACACAUGCAAGUCGAGGGGCAGCGGGAUGUAGCAAUACAUUGCCGGCGACCGGCGGAUGGGUGCGUAACGCGUAUGCAACCUACCUUAUACAGGGGAAUAACCUUUCGAAAGGGAGACUAACACCCCAUAGUAUUGAUUUAAGGCAUCUUAGAUUAAUUAAAUAUUUAUAGGUAUAAGAUGGGCAUGCGUAUGAUUAGCUAGUUGGUAAGGUAACGGCUUACCAAGGCGACGAUCAUUAGGGGUUCUGAGAGGAAGGUCCCCCCACACUGGUACUGAGACACGGACCAGACUCCUACGGGAGGCAGCAGUGAGGAAUAUUGGUCAAUGGGCGCAAGCCUGAACCAGCCAUGCCGCGUGCAGGAAAAGACGGCCUUAUGGGUUGUAAACUGCUUUUACAUAAGACUAACCGUAUAUUUGCGAAUAUACCUGAAUGUAUUAUGAGAAUAAGGAUCGGCUAACUCCGUGCCAGCAGCCGC